GACGAACGCUGGCGGCGUGCCUAAUACAUGCAAGUUGAGCGCUGAAGGUUGGUACUUGUACCGACUGGAUGAGCAGCGAACGGGUGAGUAACGCGUGGGGAAUCUGCCUUUGAGCGGGGGACAACAUGUGGAAACGAAUGCUAAUACCGCAUAAAAACUUUAAACACAAGUUUUAAGUUUGAAAGAUGCAAUUGCAUCACUCAAAGAUGAUCCCGCGUUGUAUUGGCUAGUUGGUGAGGUAAAGGCUCACCAAGGCGAUGAUACAUAGCCGACAUGAGAGGGUGAGCGGCCACAUUGGGACUGUGACCCGGCACAAAGGGCUACGGGAGGCAGCAGUAGGGAAUCUUCGGCAAGGGACGAAAGACUGACCGAGAAAGGCGGAGUGAGUGAAGAACAUUUUCGGAUCGUGAAACUCUGCUGGUAGGGAAGAACGCUGGUGAGCGUGGAAAGAUCAGCAAGUGACGGUAACUAGUCAGAAAGGGACGGCUAACUACGUG
rnacentral:rRNA from 1 species